rnacentral:rRNA from 1 species
CCUACGGGGGGCUGCAGUGGGGAAUAUUGGGCAAUGGGCGAAAGCCUGACCCAGCAACGCCGCGUGAAGGAAGAAGGUUUUCGGAUCGUAAACUUCUAUCCUUGGUGAAGAUAAUGACGGUAGCCAAGAAGGAAGCCCCGGCUAACUACGUGCCAGCAGCCGCGGUAAUACGUAGGGGGCAAGCGUUGUCCGGAAUGAUUGGGCGUAAAGGGCGCGUAGGCGGCCCGGUAAGUCUGAAGUGAAAGUCCUGCUUUUAAGGUGGGAAUUGCUUUGGAUACUGUCGGGCUUGAGUGCAGGAGAGGUAAGCGGAAUUCCCGGUGUAGCGGUGAAAUGCGUAGAGAUCGGGAGGAACACCAGUGGCGAAGGCGGCUUACUGGACUGUAACUGACGCUGAGGCGCGAAAGUGUGGGGAGCAAACAGGAUUAGAUACCCUAGUAGUC